rnacentral:rRNA from 1 species
AGGGUUUGAUCAUGGCUCAGAACGUACGCUGGCGGCACGCCUAACACAUGCAAGUCGAACGAAGUAGCAAUACUUAGUGGCAAACGGGUGAGUAACAUGUGGGUAUCUGCCCUUCGGCCUGGAAUAACACGGGGAAACUUGUGCUAAUACCAGAUAAGUCUUUUAAGAGAAAGCUUUAUGCACCGAUGGAUGAGCCCGCACCUGAUUAGUUAGUUGGUGAGGUAAUAGCUCACCAAGACAAUGAUCAGUAGCUGAUUUGAGAGGAUGAUCAGCCACAUUGGGACUGAGACACGGCCCAAACUCCUACGGGAGGCAGCAGUGGGGAAUCUUGCACAAUGGGGGAAACCCUGAUGCAGCGAUGCCGCGUGAGUGAAGAAGGCCUUUGGGUUGUAAAGCUCUUUCGUCGGGGAAGAAAAUGACUGUACCCGAAUAAGAAGGUCCGGCUAACU